rnacentral:lncRNA from 1 species
AGGAGAUCUUGGUGGCCUCAGAUACUUCCUAGUUGUGUGACCCUGGGCAAGUCACUUAACCCCCCAUUGCCUAGCCUUUACCACAUUUCUGCCUUGGACUUGGUACUUAGUAUCCAUUCUAAGACAGAAAAUAAGGGGAAGAGAGAAAAACAGAAAGAGGAGAGACAGAGAUGGAGAGAGAGAAGAAGAAGAAGAAGAAGAAGAAGAAGAAGAAGAAGAAGAAGAAGAAGAAGAAGAAGAAGAAGAAGAAGAAAGAAAGAAAGAAAGAAAGAAAGAAAGAAAGAAAGAAAGAAAGAAAGAAAGAAAGAAAGAAAGAAAGAAAGAAAGAAAGAAAGAAAGAAAGAAAGAAAGAAAGAAAGAAAGAAAGAAAGAAAGAAAGAAAGAAAGAAAGAAAGAAAGAAAGAAAGAAAGAAAGAAAGAAAGAAAGAAAGAAAGAAAGAAAGAAAGAAGAAGGAAGAAAGAAAGAAAGAAAGAAAGAAAGAAAGAAAGAAAGAAAGAAAGAAAGAAAGAAAGAAAGAAAGAAAGAGAGAGAGAGAGAGAGAGAGAGAGAGAGAGAGAGAGAGAGAGAAAGAGAGAGAGAGAGAGAGAAAGAAAGAAAGAAAGGAAGAAAGACAGAAAGACAAAAAAGAGAAAAACAGAGAGAGGGAGGAAGGAAGGAAACAAGAGAAACAGAAAGGAAGGAAGGAAGAAAAGAAAUGUUCUUCCCAUUUUAUAGAUGAGGAAAUCAAGACUGAGCAAUUUGCUUAGGGUCAUGAAGCUAGUGAAUGUCUAAAGCCAAUUUCAGCCUGGGUUUCCAGACUGAAUCUAGAACUCCUUCCACUAUGCUAUAGUGGUAAUUAUUUUCAGGCAUGCAUGUCUUCUCUCAAAUAUUAUCUGUUAAGACAGAGUAUGGGAGGCAGUCAAGAUGGCGACUUAAAGACAGCAACAGCUAAGACCUCCGUAAACCCUUCCUCACCAAUCAAAUCCACAAUGCUUUGAGGGGACUAAAAACCAAAUCUAACAACAAGACAGAGCUAAGGAACCCUCCUCCUAGACCCAACUUAAAAGAUAUGCCCCCCUCAAAAGCCUGAACUUUAGAACAUGCGAGUUUAAGGGGAGGAAGAAGGAAGAUCCCAGGACCCUUCCCCUACCUACAGCACUAAGCCUCCAGCGGUGGCUGGAAUCUCUGUACAGGCAAGGGCACUAGUUCAGAGGGAGUACCUUACCAGCAAAGCUGUGCCAGUCUCAGGGCAUAGAACACAGGUGGCUUAGAGUCAGCUGGAGGAAAAGCUAAGAGCAGGCAGCCCAAUUGCAGCCAAGAUGUUCCUUCUUGACCCCACCCCUUUCUGGAGUUUUUGGCUUCAGAGCACAUCCAGCUUUGCAGUUCAACUCCUCCACCCUUCCUCAUUCCCAUCAAUACAGCAGAUAAGAAGCCUUUUGAGGGCAGGGAAGCUCAAGCUCCAACACCCCUCCCCCACAGACUGAUCUGAGAGCCUUGCUGACUAAGACCCAAGGACAAAAGCUACAACAAACUACAGGAAACAACCUUGACAACAGGGCGGGAACUCCAGCUCCUUCUCAGCUUCUGCUGUCAACCUGGAAAGAUUUGACUAACCUGAUCAAUCAGCAGAACAGAGAAGAAGCCCCUUCAGUUCAGAACAGCCCAAAACCACAGCUCCAGAACAUAAUGAGAGGAGCAAGACUAUAGGCAAAUACAGGGGGGAAAGAAGAGGGAAAUAUGAGUAAACACCAGAAAAAGGAAAAAAAAAUUACAAUCGACAGCUUCUAUCCAGGCAAUGAGCAAAGAGCAAAUGAAACAGAGAAAGAUCAAGGAACACCAAGCAAAAACACAGAAAUUCCAGCGAAUUGGACACAGGCUUUGGAAGGAAUUCAAAAUACAAUCCUAAAUUAAUUAAGAGAGGCUGAAGACAACUGGGAAAAGAACUUAAAAAGCAGAAUAAAUCAUCUGGAAACAGAAAAUAGUAUCUUGAA